rnacentral:rRNA from 1 species
GUGUCAGCAGCCGCGGUAAUACGAGGGGGGCAAGCGUUGUUCGGAAUUAUUGGGCGUAAAGGGUGCGUAGGCGGUUUGGUAAGUCUGAUGUGAAAUCUAUGGGCUCAACUCAUAGUCUGCAUCGGAAACUGCCGGGCUUGAGUAUGGGAGAGGUGAGUGGAAUUCCUGGUGUAGCGGUGAAAUGCGUAGAUAUCAGGAGGAACACCUGUGGCGAAAGCGGCUCACUGGACCAUAACUGACGCUGAUGCACGAAAGCUAGGGGAGCAAACAGGAUUAGAUACCCCCGUAGUCC